GAUGAACGCUGGCGGCGUGCUUAACACAUGCAAGUCGAACGAAGCACCUCUCCCGAAGAUUGACACAGCUUGCUGUAGAUUGAUUCAUUUGAGGUGACUGAGUGGCGGACGGGUGAGUAACGCGUGGGUAACCUGCCUCAUAGAGGGGGACAACAGUUGGAAACGACUGCUAAUACCGCAUAGUAAGAAGAAUUCGCAUGUUUUCUUCUUGAAAGAUUUAUCGCUAUGAGAUGGACCCGCGUCUGAUUAGCUAGUUGGUAAGGUAACGGCUUACCAAGGCGACGAUCAGUAGCCGGGUUGAGAGGAUGAACGGCCACAUUGGGACUGAGACACGGCCCAAAAUCCUACGGGAGGCAGCAGUGGGGAAUAUUGCACAAUGGGGGAAACCCUGAUGCAGCGACGCCGCGUGAGUGAAGAAGUAUUUCGGUAUGUAAAGCUCUAUCAGCAGGGAAGAUAAUGACGGUACCUGACUAAGAAGCCCCGGCUAACUACGUG
rnacentral:rRNA from 1 species